CAGCCGCCACGGGAACACGGAGGGGGCUAGCGUUGUUCAGAAUUACUGGGCGUAAAGCGCACGUAGGCGGCUUGGUAAGUUAGAGGUGAAAGCCUGGAGCUCAACUCCAGAAUUGCCUUUAAGACUGCCGAGCUAGCAGGUGAGAGAGGUAAGUGGAAUUCCGAGUGUAGAGGUGAAAUUCGUAGAUAUUCGGAAGAACACCAGUGGCGAAGGCGGCUUACUGGCUCAUACUGGACGCUGAGGUGCGAAAGCGUGGGGAGCAAACAGGAUUAGAUACCCGGGUAGUCCCUGUCUCUUAUAC
rnacentral:rRNA from 1 species